UACGUAGGGUGCGAGCGUUGUCCGGAAUUAUUGGGCGUAAAGAGCUUGUAGGCGGUCUGUCGCGUCUGCUGUGAAAAUCCGGGGCUCAACCCCGGACUUGCAGUGGGUACGGGCAGACUAGAGUGUGGUAGGGGAGACUGGAAUUCCUGGUGUAGCGGUGAAAUGCGCAGAUAUUAGGAGGAACACCGAUGGCGAAGGCAGGUCUCUGGGCCACUACUGACGCUGAGAAGCGAAAGCAUGGGGAGCGAACAGG
rnacentral:rRNA from 1 species